rnacentral:rRNA from 1 species
GACAGAGGGUGCAAACGUUGCUCGGAAUUACUGGGCGUAAAGCGCGUGUAGGCGGACCACCAAGUCGGACGUGAAAGCCCUGAGCUCAACUCAGGAACUGCAUCCGAAACUGGCGGUCUGGAGUAGUGGAGAGGAAAGCAGAAUUCCUGGUGUAGAGGUGAAAUUCGUAGAUAUCAGGAGGAGCACCGGUGGCGAAGGCGGCUUUCUGGACACUUACUGACGCUGAGACGCGAAAGCGUGGGGAGCAAACAGG